UGGGGAAUAUUGCGCAAUGGGCGAAAGCCUGACGCAGCGACGCCGCGUGAGGGACGAAGGCCUUCGGGUUGUAAACCUCUUUCAGCAGGGACGAAGCCGCAAGGUGACUGUACCUGCAGAAGAAGCACCGGCUAACUACGUGCCAGCAGCCGCGGUAAUACGUAGGGUGCAAGCGUUGUCCGGAAUUAUUGGGCGUAAAGAGCUCGUAGGCGGUUUGUCACGUCGGAUGUGAAACCCCGGGGCUCAACCCCGGGCCUGCAUUCGAUACGGGCAGACUAGAGUUCGGCAGGGGAGACUGGAAUUCCUGGUGUAGCGGUGAAAUGCGCAGAUAUCAGGAGGAACACCGGUGGCGAAGGCGGGUCUCUGGGCCGAUACUGACGCUGAGGAGCGAAAGCGUGGGGAGCAAACAGGAUUAGAUACCCCCGUAGUCC
rnacentral:rRNA from 1 species